rnacentral:miRNA from 1 species
UUGGGCUGGCCAAAAAGUUUGUUUGGAUUUUUCCAUUAAAUUAUACAAAAAACCUUAAUGAACUUUCUGGCCAACUCAAU